UAAUACAUUGGUCACAUGGUAAAUUUUGUUUUUUUUACUUUUAAUUAAAGUUAGAGACAUCUCUAUAAUUAGUUCAAAACACUUAUUUUUUGUUUAUUUGCGACAUAAGAACCACUAAUCCUCAUCACUACCCAACACCCACUACCAGCCCCAUCUCAAUCGCUCCUUACUUUUCUUCCUUUAACAUUGAACUUGAGAAAACCCGACCGAGGAGAUCUCCAUUGCAGUACAUUUCCUCCCCCUCACUUAUCUUCCUUUGUGGAUAGAAUUGGUUAUUCUUAUGGUGGGUGUUGGGUG
rnacentral:lncRNA from 1 species